rnacentral:rRNA from 1 species
AUGAACGCUGGCGGCGUGCCUAAUACAUGCAAGUCGAGCGAACGGACGAGAAGCUUGCUUCUCUGAUGUUAGCGGCGGACGGGUGAGUAACACGUGGAUAACCUACCUAUAAGACUGGGAUAACUUCGGGAAACCGGAGCUAAUACCGGAUGAUAUUUUGAACCGCAUGGUUCAAAAGUGAAAGACGGUCUUGCUGUCACUUAUAGAUGGAUCCGCGCUGCAUUAGCUAGUUGGUAAGGUAACGGCUUACCAAGGCAACGAUGCAUAGCCGACCUGAGAGGGUGAUCGGCCACACUGGAACUGGGACACGGUCCAGACUCCUACGGGAGGCAGCAGUAGGGAAUCUUCCGCAAUGGGCGAAAGCCUGACGGAGCAACGCCGCGUGAGUGAUGAAGGUCUUCGGAUCGUAAAACUCUGUUAUUAGGGAAGAACAUAUGUGUAAGUAACUGUGCACAUCUUGACGGUACCUAAUCAGAAAGCCACGGCUAACUACGUG